GACGAACGCUGGCGGCGCGCUUAACACAUGCAAGUCGAACGGCAAGGCCUGCUUUCCCUUGUGGAUUGCGGGUACUCGAGUGGCGAACGGGUGCGUAACACGUGAGUGAUCUGCCCCCAACUUGGGUAUAAGCCUGGGAAACUGGGUCUAAUUCCCGAUAGGACUGCCGUGUGGUGCCUGUGGUGGACAACGAUUUUCUAGUGGUUGGGGAUGAGCUCGCGGCCUAUCAGCUGGUUGGUGGGGUAAUGGCCUACCAAGGCGGCGACGGGUAGCCGGCCUGAGAGGGUGGACGGCCACAUUGGGACUGAGAUACGGCCCAGACUCCUACGGGAGGCAGCAGUGGGGAAUAUUGCACAAUGGGCGGAAGCCUGAUGCAGCGACGCCGCGUGGGGGAUGACGGCCUUCGGGUUGUAAACUCCUUUCGACCGCGAGGAAGCCACCUGGUUGGAAGGGUGGUGACGGUAGUGGUAGAAGAAGCACCGGCUAACUACGUG
rnacentral:rRNA from 1 species